UACGUAGGGUGCAAGCGUUGUCCGGAAUUAUUGGGCGUAAAGAGCUCGUAGGCGGUCUGUCGCGUCGAAUGUGAAACCCCGAGGCUCAACCUCGGGUCUGCAUUCGAUACGGGCAGACUAGAGUUCGGUAGGGGAGUCUGGAAUUCCUGGUGUAGCGGUGAAUGCGCAGAUAUCAGGAGGAACACCGGUGGCGAAGGCGGGACUCUGGGCCGAUACUGACGCUGAGGAGCGAAAGCGUGGGGAGCGAACAGG
rnacentral:rRNA from 1 species